rnacentral:rRNA from 1 species
UACAGAGGAGCCAAGCGUUGUCCGGAUUGACUGGGCGUAAAGCGCACGCAGGCGGUUGCGCGCGUGGGGUGUGAAAUCUGGCCGCUUAACGGCCAGGCGCCAUCCCAUACGGCGCGACUGGAGUGAUGCAGAGGUCGAUGGAAUUGCCGGUGUAGUGGUGAAAUGCGUAGAGAUCGGCAGGAACACCCAGGGGGAAACCAGUCGACUGGGCAUCUACUGACGCUGAGGUGCGAGAGCGUGGGGGGCGAACCGG